GGGUUGUGAGGUUAAGCGACUAAGCGUACACGGUGGAUGCCCUGGCAGUCAGAGGCGAUGAAGGACGUGCUAAUCUGCGAAAAGCGUCGGUAAGGUGAUAUGAACCGUUACAGCCGGCGAUGUCCGAAUGGGGAAACCCAGUGCAAUUCGUUGCACUAUCGUUAACUGAAUACAUAGGUUAACGAGGCGAACCGGGGGAACUGAAACAUCUAAGUACCCCGAGGAAAAGAAAUCAACCGAGAUUCCCCCAGUAGCGGCGAGCGAACGGGGAGCAGCCCGGAGUCUGAAUCAGCUUGUGUGUUAGUGGAAGCGUCUGGAAAGUCGCAGGGUACAGGGUGAUACUCCCGUACACUAAAACACACAGGCUGUGAACUCGAAGAGUAGGGCGGGACACGUGGUAUCCUGUCUGAAUAUGGGGGGACCAUCCUCCAAGGCUAAAUACUCCUGACUGACCGAUAGUGAACCAGUACCGUGAGGGAAAGGCGAAAAGAACCCCGGCGAGGGGAGUGAAAAAGAACCUGAAACCGUGUACGUACAAGCAGUAGGAGCCCCACCACCAAAGCGUUUCGCUUUGCGUGGUGCGCAAAAUGCGUAACGACAGCAUGAUGGACGGUUAACGGAGCGUCAGCGACGUUCAACCUCAAAAAUCAGGCAGUGGAGCGUUUUGGGGUGGGGUGACUGCGUACCUUUUGUAUAAUGGGUCAGCGACUUAUAUUCUGUAGCAAGGUUAACCGAAUAGGGGAGCCGCAGGGAAACCGAGUCUUAACUGGGCGUUAAGUUGCAGGGUAUAGACCCGAAACCCGGUGAUCUAGCCAUGGGCAGGUUGAAGGUUGGGUAACACUAACUGGAGGACCGAACCGACUAAUGUUGAAAAAUUAGCGGAUGACUUGUGGCUGGGGGUGAAAGGCCAAUCAAACCGGGAGAUAGCUGGUUCUCCCCGAAAGCUAUUUAGGUAGCGCCUCGUGAACUCAUCUUCGGGGGUAGAGCACUGUUUCGGCUAGGGGGUCAUCCCGACUUACCAACCCGAUGCAAACUACGAAUACCGAAGAAUGUUAUCACGGGAGACACACGGCGGGUGCUAACGUCCGUCGUGAAGAGGGAAACAACCCAGACCGCCAGCUAAGGUCCCAAAGUCAUGGUUAAGUGGGAAACGAUGUGGGAAGGCCCAGACAGCCAGGAUGUUGGCUUAGAAGCAGCCAUCAUUUAAAGAAAGCGUAAUAGCUCACUGGUCGAGUCGGCCUGCGCGGAAGAUGUAACGGGGCUAAACCAUGCACCGAAGCUGCGGCAGCGACACUAUGUGUUGUUGGGUAGGGGAGCGUUCUGUAAGCCGUUGAAGGUGGCCUGUGAGGGUUGCUGGAGGUAUCAGAAGUGCGAAUGCUGACAUAAGUAACGAUAAUGCGGGUGAAAAACCCGCACGCCGGAAGACCAAGGGUUCCUGUCCAACGUUAAUCGGGGCAGGGUGAGUCGACCCCUAAGGCGAGGCCGAAAGGCGUAGUCGAUGGGAAACAGGUUAAUAUUCCUGUACUUGGUGUUACUGCGAAGGGGGGACGGAGAAGGCUAUGUUGGCCGGGCGACGGUUGUCCCGGUUUAAGCAUGUAGGCGGAUGUUCCAGGUAAAUCCGGAACGUCACUAACGCUGAGGUGUGAUGACGAGGCACUACGGUGCUGAAGUGACAAAUGCCCUGCUUCCAGGAAAAGCCUCUAAGCAUCAGGUAACAUCAAAUCGUACCCCAAACCGACACAGGUGGUCAGGUAGAGAAUACCAAGGCGCUUGAGAGAACUCGGGUGAAGGAACUAGGCAAAAUGGUGCCGUAACUUCGGGAGAAGGCACGCUGAUGGUAAGUGAAGUGACUUGCUCAUGGAGCUGAAAUCAGUCGAAGAUACCAGCUGGCUGCAACUGUUUAUUAAAAACACAGCACUGUGCAAACACGAAAGUGGACGUAUACGGUGUGACGCCUGCCCGGUGCCGGAAGGUUAAUUGAUGGGGUUAUCCUCACGGAGAAGCUCUUGAUCGAAGCCCCGGUAAACGGCGGCCGUAACUAUAACGGUCCUAAGGUAGCGAAAUUCCUUGUCGGGUAAGUUCCGACCUGCACGAAUGGCGUAAUGAUGGCCAGGCUGUCUCCACCCGAGACUCAGUGAAAUUGAACUCGCUGUGAAGAUGCAGUGUACCCGCGGCAAGACGGAAAGACCCCGUGAACCUUUACUAUAGCUUGACACUGAACACUGGUCCUUGAUGUGUAGGAUAGGUGGGAGGCUUUGAAGUGUGGACGCCAGUCUGCAUGGAGCCGUCCUUGAAAUACCACCCUUUAAUGGCUGGUGUUCUAACGUUGGCCCCUAAUCGGGGUUGCGGACAGUGUCUGGUGGGUAGUUUGACUGGGGCGGUCUCCUCCUAAAGAGUAACGGAGGAGCACGAAGGUCAGCUAAUCCUGGUCGGACAUCAGGAGGUUAGUGCAAUGGCAUAAGCUGGCUUGACUGCGAGCGUGACGGCGCGAGCAGGUGCGAAAGCAGGUCAUAGUGAUCCGGUGGUUCUGAAUGGAAGGGCCAUCGCUCAACGGAUAAAAGGUACUCCGGGGAUAACAGGCUGAUACCGCCCAAGAGUUCAUAUCGACGGCGGUGUUUGGCACCUCGAUGUCGGCUCAUCACAUCCUGGGGCUGAAGUAGGUCCCAAGGGUAUGGCUGUUCGCCAUUUAAAGUGGUACGCGAGCUGGGUUUAGAACGUCGUGAGACAGUUCGGUCCCUAUCUGCCGUGGGCGCUGGAGAAUUGAGGGGGCUGCUCCUAGUACGAGAGGACCGGAGUGGACGCAUCACUGGUGUUCGGGUUGUCAUGCCAAUGGCAUUGCCCGGUAGCUAAAUGCGGAAGAGAUAAGUGCUGAAAGCAUCUAAGCACGAAACUUGCCCCGAGAUGAGUUCUCCCUGACUCCUUGAGAGUCCUGAAGGAACGUUGAAGACGACGACGUUGAUAGGCCGGGUGUGUAAGCGCAGCGAUGCGUUGAGCUAACCGGUACUAAUGAACCGUGAGGCUUAACCUUACAACGCCGAAG
rnacentral:rRNA from 1 species